UCAGACUUCAGAUCUUUAAUUAAAUCCUGUUCAGUUAUAAACACAGAAAGGGCUUUGCAGAGUUAGGCAUAUAUAGAUUAUAUACUGAAGAAAGAUCAAACUAGAACUUACUUCUAUGAUUUAUUUCUACCUGUCUACCUUUGUGCUGUUUUUCCUGUAAAGCUUUGUUUUAUUUCUUAUUAUGAACUCCCCUCUGUCCAAAUCUCUGACAGCUCAGCUCUUCUCCAUUAUCUCCUCACUAAUGCCACAACUACAAAAUUUCAGUUUAGGUUGCAAAAAUGACAGGAAAGAAAUUAAAUUAACCUGGAAUUUUAUUUACUAUCCAAUCCUCAAUUAUUUCUCAGUUUGUUUCUUGGGAAAAAAGAUUUUGGUGCUGGUUUGUGUGCAAAAAAAACUCAGUAGUGUCAGACACUAAUACAAGGGCAGUUUAAGCUUGAUUAUUUUCUGUCAAGCAGUAGAGAAGCUUCUUGUGUGGUCAGGGACAGAGACAGCCUCCAGCCUUCCCCCAUCCCUCCUUCUGCCAGGUAUCAGGACAAUCCUAUAUCAAAUAUCAGCUCUCUCCCAAUACAUAAGGAAUAUAACCAAAAGAAGUGCAUUUUAAAAAUGCUCAAAUCAUUCCCCAGGACUAAAAUGCAGCCAGGCAGUUAAAGCAGCAGGUGAAAGUUUGGGUUUGUUUCCCAGUUCAAAGAACUAAUGAACAUACCUUGCCAUACAUAGUCUUGAAAGCUGCCUUGAUUUGUUGCCUUUGAUCAUUGGAGCGGUUAGCAACAACAUUUAUGAUGGCCUGCUCAUCAGUUCCUUGGAAACAGAAAGGCAGUGUCAUGUAAGAAUGCAAUAUAGACCCUCCAAAACUGUGCAUUUUAUACUGUUCCAUUUGGGCAUCAUUAAAUAAUAAGAGACUGCUAUUUAAGUCCACCAAAUUUUCUGUGUAACUUCAUCUAAUAAAUAGCCUUGGCCAUUUUGAAAAGGUAACUUUUGAAAAGCUUAGGGGGGGGGGGGAGUGUAGUUAAAUAAACACUGAAGACAAGAACAAAAUGGCAUUAAGAAGUUAGAUCAAUGGGAACUAAAGCUUCUAUUUCUUACUUACCAAAACCCUUCAUAGCUUUGCGUAGGAUUUCUGCAUCCCUUCCGGCAUCGAAGUUUGGAGCAGCUUGAAUUGUACCCUGGGUACACUGAACCACUGCAGCAGGCUGAAAAUAAGAGUCACAGGUAACUAGAUAUCUACAAAAUGAAAAUUCAAAUUAAAAUCACAACUCUGCAAUCAGUACUUCAGAAGGAGUUCCCCAUUAGUUCUCCAUUUCUUCCUCUAACACAGAAUCAGGGCAACAUUACUCUGAGGGUAGAUGGAAACUCCUGAUGCAGAACAAAAUUGAAGCCUUUGGAAAUCAGCUGUAGAAACAUUAAAACUACAGAAGCACAUAAGAUUCCCUACAGAAAAGAAAACAGCACAUACCAGACCAGGCAUUGGGGAUGGUACUUGUCCACCAGGAAAUCCUAGUGAAAAUAAAGAACAAGUGUGUCAGGAGUCACUGUCAACACACAGAUCUGCAAAAUGCAAUUGAGAUUAACAGAACUGCUACAUACUCACUGAAUGUGUACUCUGGGUUUCACAGCUCUCAUCAAAUACUUGCAGUUUGAAAAAGGGUAAGCACCUAAACCACUACACCAUGACCAUUAUUCAGGGACAGCCAUCCCCUUUGGAUGUAGCACCUAGAGAUGGUUCUCCUCAGCCCUUCAGUAGCCUGGUCAAGAAAAGUGGCAGGAGGUGCACUGCAUAUAAACCUCAAGAGCUACAAGUAACAAAGGUAAGGGCUUAAUUUGUUACUACCUAUCCUGGAGUCUCUUGGUUUAACCAUGGAUGCUUGAAGUUUCUUAUAUAUGACAUACCUGGAAUUUGUGCUGGUCCACCUCCAGCAUAGCUUUGGGCAGGAGGCUGCUGUGGAUAGCCACCAAAGCCAGGCCCAGUGGGAGGCACAGCAAAGCCAGAGCCUGGAGGAGCCAGGGAAAAAAAACCAAAAC